rnacentral:lncRNA from 1 species
GCGCAGAACAGCAGCCGGAAGCCGGAGUACGGCCGAGUGCAUGGGGUGCAUGAGGGUCGGCGGAGCUUCCCAACGGUGAGUGGAUGGAAGGGGAGUGACGCCAGGGGCCGCAAGGGGGCGCUGUGGCCCGGGAUGCUCCUGGCCCUUCUGCACUUGUGGGCAAGGGGAGGCAGAACUGGGAGGUGGUGGGAGGGAGGGAAGUGGGGCUGGGUUCUCCCUCUCCUUCUCCCUGUCCCUCUCCCUCUUCUUCUUCCUCUCCUUCUCCUUGUCCCUCUCCUUCUCCCCCUUCCACUUCCUCUUCCUCUCCCUCUUCUUCCUCUUCCUCUCCCUCUCCCUCUCCCUCUCCCUCUCCCUCUCCUUUUUCUUCUUCCUCUCCUUCACAUCUGGGCAAGAAGUCUCGCUUUCCUCCAUCAACAGGGCCAUCUGCAAGCCCAACGUCCCUCACCACCACCUCAUGGUCCAAAGAACCAUCAGACAUGAACCCUUCUUCCCAAGCUUGGAGCUGGGAAGGGGUUGAUGAACACACACCCUUUUGACACUUCCAUGGAGCUUGUUGGCUUGCAGUUGAGGAGAUCCAGGUGUCUCGGCCAGGCAAGGACCUAUAAAGCCCGCUUGAAGGGGUUACACUGCCUCUGAAGGAGCGGGCACGUAGCUUGAGGGUGCUUCUGGGUCAUCGCUGUCCCUUGACGCUCAAGUGGCCUCGGUGGUGGUGUGGAGUGCCUUCCAUCAGCUUCGGCUGGUGGUUCAGCUGCGCUCCUAUCGAGUCAGCCUAACCACCAGGUUAUAUUACUGCAACACAUUAUUUGUGGCACUGUUUGUGAAGACAGCUCGGAAACUUAACUAGUGCAGAAUUUGUGGUUGCUCACUGGGGCAAGAUGGUUUGAGCAUACCAUGCCAAUCCUGGCUCGACUGCACUGGCUACCAGCUAGUUUCCGGGGCCAAUUCAAAGGGCUGGUUUUGACCUAUAAAGCCUUAGACGGCUCAGGAUCGCAAUAUCUCAGGGACCGCCUCUCCCCAUAUGAGCCAACCCGGACCUUGCGGUCAUGACCUGAGACCCUUCUUUGUGUGCCUCCUCUGCAAGAGGUCCGGAGGGUGCCUACACAAGAACGGGCCUUUUUGGGGUAGCUCCCUGCUUUUUUGGGUAGCUCCCUGCUUGUGGAAUGGUCUCCCUAGGUAGGUUCGGUUGGUGCCAAGCAAAAAUGUCCCUCUUCUCCUAGGCCUUUGGCUAAUUCAACAAUCUGUGUCCAUUUAAACUGGGGGGAAGUUUUUAUUGUUUUUGUUUGUUGCUAUAUAUUUUUGUGUUUCUAUAUUGUAAACCGCCCUGUGCUGCUUGGCUGAAGGGCAGGUGUACAAAUUAAAUCAAUAACAGUAAGAGUAAUAAUACUGUUGUGUUCCUGAGGCUUCUCGGUAUCAUAUGUUUAAGAAAGCCCACUGUUUGCUGUUCUCGGAGGCAGGCCUGAGACUUCCUGGCUCUCUCUAUUGCUUUGGAACAGAAAAAGGUGGUGGUUGGCCAACCAGUUUGGCCAAUACCUUUCUAUUGCUUCUGUGAUGUGUAGGGCUGGUGCUAGGAAGCUGCCAUCUCAUCAUGGGCGUAGCCAAGGGGGUGGGGCCUAGAUCCACAAAUAUUAUUGAAAAGCAUUGCAAGUGCUCAAUUAUCUGAGGUUCUGCCUCCCCCUUUGGCUGCUCCCCUCCUAACAAAAAUCCUGGCUACGCCCAUGCAUCUCAUACCUCCAAAAAUGCAUUGCCUGUGUUGGGCAUUACAGUUUGGGAGAUGAAUGGUGGUGGCUGCCCAACUUGCAUACAAAGGCACUGCCAAUGCCUAGUAAGCAUGUUCAUGGAGAGGGAAUAACUGGCAGCACCAAUACCAGGGCGGACGUCCCAGUGACUGGCAGCACCAGUGCCUGGUAGGGGCAGAGGUUGCAGUGCUGAGUGAAUGAAGCAAUCACCUGGGGCAGUUAAAAGGCAGUAAUUAUUUAAUUGUUAGGGGUUUUUUUUAAGUAACCAAAUUUAUAUACCGAUUACUCAAACGAAAGGCUUCUGGCCCUCCUGUGGCACAGUGGGUCAGUGCGUCUGGAAGGUUGGUGUUUUGAGCCCACCCAGGGACAUUUGUGGGCAGGAUUCCUGUAUUGGAUUCGAUGAUCCUUGGGAUCCCUUCAAAUUCUACAACUCUAUAACUCUAAGUGACUUAAUUUGAAAUAUUAAUUUAAGAUACUGAAAAAGAAAACACAGGUUAUAUAUAGUGUGUUGUAUAAGUUAAAUUAUUUUAAAAAUAAAGAUCUUUACCAAAAUCACAGGUUGAAAAUUGCAUGCUAAAAUUACAUGCCUAGGAAAGCUUGCUGAAACAAAAGUGCCUCCAAGUUCUACUUCUUCAGGUGAAUUGUGUAGUCAUUUGGUGCCUGCGGUCUGUCCCUUGUAUGUAACUCAUUCCUUGAAGAGCUCACAUUUAUCACAGUUGAUUCAUAAUCCACGUUCCUUCAGCCUCUUGAGAACAUGUUCCAGAUUCUUCAUAUGAUCCUCAUCACUAGGUGAUGUCAUCCAGAUUGUAUCUGUAACUGGUCAUAGUAUCAAUGCCUACCAAAUUGUUAGUGAAGGUGCCGCUCCAAAUACCAAUUGGUUACACUGGAACAAACCCUUUUCAGGGUUGAUGGUGGUCAGAAACUUGAUUCCUCCUCCUCUUCUUCUUCCAUUUGGAGAUGAACCUGUGCCACAUCUGGUUUACUAAACUCCUUUCCUUCAGAUAACAGUAAGAAAAUAUCCUCAGUUUGAGUCAGGGAGCCAUUUCCCGCUCUUAGCAGUGGGUUAAUGAUCUCCAUGAAGUCACGGCAGACCUGUUUCAGCUCAUACUUUUUUGCCCAUAAUUGGAUCAUAAAGUUCCAGCUACCCAUUGAACCAAUGGCUAUGAAUUACUGGUUUGUGGCUGUGAAGUGCUUGGAUGCCAAUAUAAAUGUUAAGUGAUUGUUAUAUUACCUGGCAGAAAAUUAUUAGAAAUAUACCUAGUUUUAAUAGUUAUUUCUACCUUAACCACAGGUGUGCGCCGUGUGUAAGCAUGUACCAACUGAUGUAGUAGGUCUGAUGGGAAUAAUUUUUAUUGGCUGUGUGAAAGCAUGCUCUUUAGCUUUGGAGUUGGCUGAGAUUAGCAAUAUUUGAUAUAGAUAGUACAAUUGAAGGUGUGAAAUGCCUGCUAAACGUUUGUGUGGCACACUGGGAUUAGCUUUUAAAAAAUAGAUUAUUUGUUUAAUUAAAUUAUCUACAAAUGGGUACUUGUGCUAAAAGGGCUGGUUUACAGCAGGGUCACUUUGGAAACAUGCAUACACCAAAGAAAAAGUUACCAGCACCCUGAAGUUCCCUUGGUUUGAUUGCACAUAAACUUGUUGAAUUCAUUUGUUUUAAAAUUAAUGUUAAUUGCCUCAAAGGCAUUUUACAGAUGUACCACAAAAAUGGCUAAGAAUAAUUUCAAAAACAGUUUUUUUAAAAAAACCACAAUGCUAAAAGCAAAUAACUAAAGACAGGUUUAAAAACACUACAAAAUUAACACCUAAGGCAGCUGGAGAAGCUUGUUGAAACAAAAAUGUAUCCAACUGUUGCCAGAAACUACAGAUAACCAAGUAUCCCUCCUGUAUAGCACUUUGACAGCUAUGCAAAGUUUGAUAGCAGUAUAGUAGUCUUCCCUCUGUAAUGCUUGGAUUUUUCUUGAUUCUGUGGCACUUGAUUUCACAACUCAUGCUCUUUUUAUUACGAUAAUUAUUUGUCGGCUUAAUCACUUUUGCUGUCACUAGGAGGCUAAUUGGCAGAGUUCUGGUAAUAGACAACUUGCAGCGUGUUCCCAGCCAUGCUUACUUUGAAUUCAGUGGUAUUUAUUUUCCUUUUAGGAUCAUCACAGCCGUACAGGGGCCUACCUGAGUGUACCUUGGGGUGGAAAACCUGUGGGUGUCCAGAUGCUGUUGUACUACAACUCCCAUCAUCCUUGGCCAUUGGCCAUGCUGGUUGAGGGUCGAUGGGAGUUGGAGUCCAGCAAUAUUUGGACAGCCGCAGAUUUCCCAUCCCUGGUAUGCCUAGCUGUUAUGCUGUUCCUUCCAAUUGUUAAUAGCAAAACUGCAAUAAUGCACCCAAGCGCAGCUGUGGGCAGGAUUCCUGCAUUAUGGGGGAUUGAACUAGAUGACUCUCAGGGUCCCUUCCAACUCUACAGUUCUAUGAUUCUAUGGUAGUAAAAACGAGAACCGAUGAAGCAGUGAUGCUGGUCUUUCCCACAACCCCCCUAGCAACAUCAUUGCCAUCUUACCGAAAUGUAAGCAACUUCACUUAACACGUGGAGCACCUUUGUAAAGAAAACUUUUUUAACUAUGGCGAAAAAGAAAACACCUGUGCCAAUUUUCUGAUAUGGCAGAUAUCAUAAGGGAUGCAAAAUCUGUUAAUCUGAGCAAUAACACAAUAUGCUAAAACAGCACCUAUCGUUGCACAUGUUGAUGAAAUUCUCAGCACUUAUGGCACAGUACAGGAAAAUGUGUCGGGCAACCUGCUCUGUGCUUGAUGGCGCUCACAGAAUAAAAGGAGUUGCAACGGCUAUUUAAAGCUAGUUGCGAUGCGAUGUAGAAGAUUAAGAAAGGCUGUUCAUGCAAUCUGUGAUAUUCAAGGAAGAGAGGAAUUUAGGUGGAGUUCAGUGGCAGUGUGUAGGUGUAGCAGAAGAAAUGCGGUUUGACUUGUAGUAGUAGUAAUGAUAGUAAUAAUAAUGUAUUACCCUGCCCAUCUGGUGUAGGACUUUACAUAUGACUACCUGAAUUCUUAAUUGGAUGCAGGUGCAGAAUUUAUAUAGGAGAAGUCUGGGGUUGCUUGAGAGAGAUUUGAAACACAUUUGGUUGGUCUAUACUUAUGGUUUGUAGGCAAAGUGUGAAAUUAAGAGUAGAGUAAAGCCGCCCCUUAGAUAAAUAUCUGAUUUGUUUAAAGUUUUUGCUCAAGUACAGCCUGUUCAUAAACAAGUUGAUCUGAACCUGUGGGAGUUUGAUUCUACGUCACGAUCAGAUCAUUUCCCAAUGAAGUUUACACUGGUGGUAGUCUCCACAGGGAUGAUGGAUCUAUGAGUAUUUGGCUGAUGGAAUCCGAGGGAUUGUUUUUAGUUUCCUUGCCAAGUUCUCUAUUUGGCAGAGCAAGUACUUCUGUUGAAAACCUAGUCCAGGAACGUUCAUGUUUGCCUUGACUUGAAUGCCUCCGUUUCUAUAGCUCAUUCAAGGGAGAUGUUGAGAACACCUGUUAGUCUGGUUUAGUAGAGCAUAAGACUCUUAAUCUUAGUGUCAUGGGUUUGAGCCCCAAGUUGAGCAAAAAAAAGAUUCCUACACUGGACUGGUUCACCCUUGUGGUUCUUUCCAACUCUACAGUUCUAUGGUUCUCUGACCAGAGGAUGUGGAUGAGUUUGCUUAGAGAGGUGCAGCAAUAACAUUUCUUGCAGACCCUUUCCUGGCACGGCUGAUACCAGGAUGUGGAUGUGGUUAAUGCCUCUUUGCAAGAGGGGGUAAUUCUGGCCAGCUUGGAAAAGCUGUUUGUGAUAUGAUUCCUAAGGAAACUUAUACCAGACCCCCCCCCAAAAAAAGCUAUAACAAGCCCUGGCCAGUUGCAAAUAUCUUGUUCUUAUCUUAGGCAAAGUGAUCAAGUAGAUGGUGGCUGUGCAACUUUCACCUUU